GAUGAACGCUGGCGGCGUGCCUAACACAUGCAAGUCGAACGAAGCGCCUGGCCCCGACUUCUUCGGAUGAAGACCUUUGUGACUGAGCGGCGGACGGGUGAGUAACGCGUGGGUAACCUGCCUCAUACAGGGGGAUAACAGUUAGAAAUGACUGCUAAUACCUCAUAAGACCACAGUACCGCAUGGUACAGGGGUAAAAACUCCGGUGGUAUGAGAUGGACCCGCGUCUGAUUAGCUGGUUGGUGGGGUAACGGCCUACCAAGGCGAUGAUCAGUAGCCGGCCUGAGAGGGCGACCGGCCACAUUGGGACUGAGACACGGGCCCAAAUCCUACGGGAGCAGCAGUGGGGAAUAUUGCACAAUGGGGGAAACCCUGAUGCAGCGACGCCGCGUGAAGGAA
rnacentral:rRNA from 1 species